GACGAACGCUGGCGGCGUGCUUAACACAUGCAAGUCGAACGGAAAGGCCCUGCUUUCGUGGGGUGCUCGAGUGGCGAACGGGUGAGUAACACGUGAGCAACCUGCCCUUGACUUUGGGAUAACUUCAGGAAACUGGGGCUAAUACCGGAUAGCAGCUCCUGCUGCAUGGUGGGGGUUGGAAAGUCUCGGCGGUUGGGGAUGGACUCGCGGCUUAUCAGCUUGUUGGUGGGGUAGUGGCUUACCAAGGCUUUGACGGGUAGCCGGCCUGAGAGGGUGACCGGCCACAUUGGGACUGAGAGACGGCCCAGAGUCGUACGGGAGACAGCAGUGGGGAGUAUUACACAAUGGGAGGAAGCCUGAUGCAGCAACGCCGCGUGCGGAAUGACGGCCUUCGGGUUGUAAACCGCUUUCGCCUAUGACGAAGCGUGAGUGACGGUAAUGGGUGAAGAAGCACCGGCUAACUACGUG
rnacentral:rRNA from 1 species